UACGUAGGGGGCGAGCGUUGUCCGGAUUCAUUGGGCGUAAAGAGCUCGUAGGCGGCUUGGCAAGUCGGGUGUGAAACCUCCAGGCUCAACCUGGAGACGCCACCCGGGACUGCUAUGGCUAGAGUCCGGUAGGGGAUCACGGAAUUCCUGGUGUAGCGGUGAAAUGCGCAGAUAUCGUAAGGAAGACCAGUGGCGAAGGCGAGUCUCUGGACAGUUCCUGACGCUGAGGCACGAAGGCCAGGGGAGCAAACGGG
rnacentral:rRNA from 1 species